AACGAACGCUGGCGGCAUGCCUAACACAUGCAAGUCGAACGAGACCUUCGGGUCUAGUGGCGCACGGGUGCGUAACGCGUGGGAACCUGCCCUUAGGUUCGGAAUAACUCCCCGAAAGGGGUGCUAAUACCGGAUAAUGUCUUCGGACCAAAGAUUUAUCGCCUUUGGAUGGGCCCGCGUUGGAUUAGCUAGUUGGUAGGGUAAAAGCCUACCAAGGCGACGAUCCGUAGCUGGUCUGAGAGGAUGAUCAGCCACACUGGGACUGAGACACGGCCCAGACUCCUACGGGAGGCAGCAGUGGGGAAUAUUGGACAGUGGGCGAAAGCCUGAUCCAGCAAUGCCGCGUGAGUGAUGAAGGCCUUAGGGUUGUAAAGCUCUUUUACCCGGGAUGAUAAUGACAGUACCGGGAGAAUAAGCUCCGGCUAACUCCGUG
rnacentral:rRNA from 1 species